UAGAGUUUUGGUGUUAUCCGAUGACUUUUUCUUCGCUUGAUGGACGUUUUGGGUGAUAUUCCGACGUCUAUGCCUUUACUCCGGUGAGUUUCAGAACCUAGGGUUUCCGGUGUUGGACCUAGAAAAAAAAUUUCGAUGACUGUUAAUCGGUUAAUCGGAACUUUUAUGUCUCUCUGAGGCUCCGGUCCUGUAUCAGUAGGUGUUUUGGGUGAUUUUCCGACAUCUCUGACUUUGUUCCGACGAGUUCUUCAAAUUCUAGGGUUUUGUAUCAGUGGGUGUUUUGGGUAAUUUUCCGGCAUCCCUGGUUUUAUUCCGACGAGUUCUUCAAAUUCUAGGGUUUUCCGACUUCGGACCUAGAGCUUUGGUGUUAUCCGAUGACUUUGUCUUCGCUUGAUACACGUUUUGGGUAACUUUCCGACGUCUGUGACCUUAUUUCGGUGAGUUUCAGAACCUAGGGUUUCCGGUGUUGGACCUAGGGUUUUCUUUGUUGAUUGAAGGCCGAUCUUCUCCGGUAGCGAAGAAGGAGGGUAACUCUGUCCUCAUUUUGACUAUUAUAUGCUUUGAAUGUGACUACCUGGUUCUGUAUGUGACUAUCUGGUUCCGUUAUAUUUUUCUUGCCGACACUGUUUUUAAGCUGAUUCAUUAAUCAUGGCUUCUAAUACCACUGUUGGUACCUCCUCCUCGGUAGACUCUACCAGCCCCAUUUUUGUAUAUUCCUCUGAUGUCCCUGGGGUCUCUCUUGUCCCCACUCCCUUCUCGGGUAGUGGUUAUGGGGGUUGGAGACGCAAGAUGAUUGUUGCAUUAUCUGCUAAAAACAAAAUCGGAUUUGUUGACGGCUCAUGUCCUCGACCUACCAGGGUAGUGGUUAUGGGGGUUGGAGGCAUAAAAUGAUUGUUGCAUUAUCUGCUAAAAAUAAAAUCGGAUUUGUUGACGGGUCAUGUCCUCGACCUACCACUAAUGUGGCUCAACAGAGACUGUGGGAUAGAUGUAAUAACAUGGUCAUUUCCUGGUUGACCUCUUCCCUGUCUCUUCAGAUUGCUGAUAGUGUGCAGUAUUCCGAUACUGCACAGAGUAUAUGGUUCCAAAUUGAGAAAAGAUAUGGUACUCCUAACAAGACCAAAAUUUUUGAAUUAAAAAGGGAACUUUCUCACACAUCUCAAGGCUGUUUAGAUGUAGCCUCAUAUUUUAACAA
rnacentral:lncRNA from 1 species